AGACCGAUAGCGAACAAGUAGAGUGAUCGAAAGAUGAAAAGCACUUUGGAAAGAGAGUCAAACAGCACGUGAAAUUGUUGAAAGGGAAGCGCUUGCAGCCAGACUUGCUUGCAGUUGCUCAUCCGGGCUUUUGCCCGGUGCACUCUUCUGUAGGCAGGCCAGCAUCAGUUUGGGCGGUAGGAUAAAGGUCUCUGUCACGUACCUCUCUUCGGGGAGGCCUUAUAGGGGAGACGACAUACUACCAGCCUGGACUGAGGUCCGCGCAUCCUGCUAGGAUGCUGGCGUAAUGGCUGUAAGCGGCCCGUCUUGAAACACGGACCAAG
rnacentral:rRNA from 1 species